rnacentral:ncRNA from 1 species
CAGAGUAGAAUUUUGUGCGUGAAGUGUCCUUUGAACGGGGAGUUGUCAAAGGAACGAAAGGAUUAUCCUGCGGUACAAAAUUCGCAUCCCGCUGU